UCCAGAGGAAAACCCUACGAGCGGCUAAAAGCUCCAGUUUGACUCAGAACCGGCUUCUUCUCCUCCAUGUGUGAGAAGAUGAAACAAGUGAUAUCAGUGUUAUGACUGAAACCAGGACAAGCCAAAGCAUCCAGGACUGGACAUGAUGGGCCAGAUAUUGUGGUGGUGUACGUGCCUGCACAGGCGUAGCAGCAUGACUGUAAUUACAUCGAGCACCAUUUGGUCCAAGUCCACUCAACAAGACCGUCCUAGAGGCUUCAGUUUGUUGUGCUCAGUGUGAAGAAGUUGGGCCAGAGAUAAAUUUAGUUUCUUCUGUUAUAGAUCAAGCAGCUGUGUGGCACAACAGGACUGAGCUGCUGGAGCUAGCCCUCAUUUUGUUUGUUUCUGCCUCAGACUGUCGGGAAUUCAUUUCAGGAGACCUAGUUUUUACAAAUUUUAUAAGCAGCAAUGGAAGCUUGAGAUGUUAAGUGUAAAGCAUCCUCAGUCUGUUGUUACA